CAGAAAAAGCUCCUUUAAAAAAAAAGAAGCAUGAAACCAAACCUGUGCCCUACAUACGAGGGAGUACUCUGCACGUCGUUGCAAAGCCGCGGCGUCCUCGCUCCACCCAUGUUUACCAGUUUGUUGUUGCCACGGGAACACCAUCUCGGCAGCCUAUUGGUCCACCCGGAGAGGUAUCGGCAGGUGAAGGAGUGCAGCUGCGUGGGCGUGAUGAGGGAGCGAGAAAGGGGCGGCUGAUAGCGACGGAAAGAUAAACAUUGCGAUAGGGAGGGCAAUAAAUGUAUGGAAAGGGUGGGGUGGAGGCUGUGAUAAAUGGACGGACAGAGGUGAAGGUGGAAGUGGUGGAGGCGGAGGAGGAGGAGGGGAAGGGGGGCACUGCACACACCUCGCUUGCUUUCUCAGAAACAGGAAGUCGUCAGUUGAACCGCCGUCUCCUCCGGUGACGCAGCUGGCUGAGUUUGAUGACGGCCAUGUGUCUGCGUUGCUCUGGCAACCGCUUGGCAAGGACAAACAUCCGGAUGUCAUGUCUCAGUUGCUGCACCGUCAUCGUUCUUCAUCAGAUUUGUUGUAGCAAGAAAAACCGCACUAUCAACCCAGGCUCUUUUUAAAAUUACCGAGGUAUAACUGCAUUCAGCUAAAUGAAUGAAUUCUGACAUGUCCAUGAAUGAGGUCGCUGUGGAAACAAACAGUACAUCCUAACUAAAGCACAAAUGAAAAAAUGGAAAACAGUGUAAGAUUUUCCUUUGUCCUCUUCUCAUAACCAUUAUUUAUAUAUAUAUUUUUUAUUGUUUUCGUGCAGAAAUGCCCUUUUUUAUUUCCCCUCACUACUUUUCCAGAUUGAUGUUUUUUCUCUCGUGUCCUCUUCUCCACAUUCUUGCUUGUUUUCUUUAUAAUGUGGACACAGAUUGAUGAAUGAGUCCCCUGGAAUUAUGAGUGUGGUUUUGACUUAGAAUAGUGAUGAAUUUUGCACUUUUUUUUAUUUUGAAAGUUGAAACUGCUGCCUGUCAAUUUCUUG